UUUUUAAUUAAUUAAUUUAUUCAUUUGCAAUGAGGCCAAUGAUAUUUAUUUCCGGUUCACAGAAGGAGAACUGAGACACCAGGAGAUGAAAUGGACCUAACUACAGUGACCAAGGCUGUGGUGGUGAUUAGCUAGCUGGCUGUUUCUCUUGACUCUUCUGCUUCAAAUAGAAAGGAGGUG
rnacentral:lncRNA from 1 species